UCUUUGCAUAACAAAUCCUAUAAACACAAAAAUAACGUAAAUAGCUCAAAAAUAUAAGGAACUAACUAAGAAAAGACGAGUGAAUUCGAAGUAAAAAUAUAUAUAAAUAUGAUCCGAUCAGGAUCCCACACCCCUUAAUUCUUUCCCUCUUUCCCGUACCCUGUCUCUCUCUCUUCCCUCACGACUCUCUCUCACUCUCAGUUCUCUCUCUCUUCCUCUCCGACGCUCAACCUCACCCAAAACCACCUAAAACAUAAACAAACGUCCAAGGUAAGACCACAUUUGGACUCCUGGAACUUCCACGAUCACGUAGACAUCAAUUUCAGGUAAGUUCUACUUCGGAAAACGUAGUUUUAAAAGUUCCCGUGAAGAGCACUGUUCAUGAUCUUUGAAUAUGUUGUGUUUUAGGGAAAUCUAAGCUCACAGGGAGCUCUAGGAGGUUCCCACGAAGCUCGGAGUGCUUCGUUGGAAGUUUUUGGACGAAAGAACACGGAGAUCGACGAGUUCAAAGUUUGGCCGGAGCUUUCGAGGCAUUUUCCGGCGAAUCCCCGGCGAGUUAGGAGUCGAGGUAGGUAUCAAUCUCUUCGUCUCGUCAAGUACUACAACUUUCCUUUUUGUUUCACUCAAUGUCGUUGAGUAUUGAAGAAGUUAUACUCAUUUGAAAAAUACCCAGUUUCCGGCGACCUCCGAGGCUUUCGAGGCAGUUUCCGGCCAAACCACAGCGAACUAGGUGUUGUGCAAGGUACCAUUCUCUUUGUCUCUUCAAGGGCUACAACUUUCAUUUUUGAAUCACUUGAUUUCGUUGAGAAAUGACAAGUUAUGGCAAUUUGAAAAACUGCCCGGAAAAACGACCGCCGGAAAAACCAGUCCGGCGACCCAAGGAAGAAGAAGGUGCUACAGUAAAAAAUAAAAAUAAAAAUAAAAUUAUUUUAAAAAUAUGUCGACGUCCGUGACGUCGAGUAGAUCACCGUGGUAUAUUCAUAUACCCAAUUUGAGCACCGUAUGAGAAAGUUAUUAAGGAUUGUUGGUUAGGUGUUCGAAUAACGUUUUAUAGUUUUGGUGAAAAUGUGAAUUGAUGAUCCGACCGUUGGAUCGUCACCAAACUUUGAUACGUUGCAAUACGUAAUAUUUAAGGACUAUUGGAACUUAUGGAUUAGGAAUCCGAGUUACGGAUCUUCCGGAAUUGGAAUUGUAAGUCCAUAAUAUAAAAUGUUAACCGUCACUUAGUUUUGGAAAUUGACGGAGAUCCGACCGUUGGAUGGUAAUGAAAUUUUAGGAUGUUGUCCUAGAGGUAUAAUGUGGACCUCUGGAAGUUAUGGAUUUAAAAUCUGAGUGGUGGAUCUUCCGAAUCGAACUACGUAGUGACGUAUUUUAUAUAAGUUAUAUAUUUUAUCGAUAUGAAUUCUGAGCCUGGAUUUGAUUACUAUUCUAGGCGGCGAUCGUCGUGACGCCUUGAUGUGUGGUGCUAGGGAGUUGUUGGACGAACUCCAGGUGAGUGGGCAGUUUUGUUUUCCGUAUAUAUAUGUACUUGACGUUUUCCCAGAAAUUGAAUUUAACGGAAGUAUGCUUUCAAAUGCCAUGCAUAGAUUCAUAUGAAAAAUGUGAUUUGAAAUGCCAUGCAUAGAAAUGAUAUGAAAAAUAUAUAGAAAUGUGAAUCGAAUUGCCAUGCAUGAAAUGAUAUGAAAAGUAUGAAUUGAGAUAUGAUGCAUAUAUAUGAAAUGGUGCUGUGGACACACAGGUGAGUAUCAGGUGAGUAUUAUUACUGUUAUGAUGAUGUUGAGAUAUGUUGAGCUCAUAAACUGCACCUUGGUAUUAGUGCUUAUUAUUAUUCACCGCAUCGUAUGCUCACCUUGGAUCCAAGUAGAUGCUAGUCGUACAGACCACCGGGGGUGGUUCCGACAUGCCAGUCGUACAGACCAUUAGAGGGGUUCCGACUGGUAGGUGACCUUAGAUUAUGUGCACAGAUGAUUGAUGAGAAAAGCACUAGAGCAUAUUAUUACACCAUUAAGUCGUACAGAUUACAUUAGGUAAUUCCGACUUAUGUGCAGUGUAGUGCCGUACAGGUCAUACUAGGUGACUCCGGCAUGGCCGUACGGGUCACAGUUGGUGACUCCGGUUAGAUGAUAUUUUGAGCUCUAGAUUCAACCGUACAGGACCAUUGUAGGGUCCCCGGUUGAUUAUUUUCUUUCACCUGAUUUAUGUUGAUGCAUUCAUAUUAUACUGUUGAAUUUAGACAUGGCAUGGCAUAUUUGUACUGAAAAAUGUUGAGUUAAUGAAUUGAAGUAUUGAGAAUAUAUAUGUAUAUUUAUAUUUUACAUUUCUGGGAAAGUAUACAGGUUUUACGGAGAGGGGUUACAACGUUUUGAGAAAUGUUUGGAUUUGAAAAAGAAUUGUUUUACUGACCCACUCAAUUUUGGUUUUGCGCCCCUCCAGGUUCAUGAAUCACAAAGGUGUGGUGACUACGAGGAAUUCGACGGUGUUCUGACAGAUUGGACAAAAUUAGGACUCACUUUCGGGUGUAUCAACUUAGGAAUUGUAUCUUAAAGCUUCCGUACUGUGCAAAUGGUUACGUCACUCUCACGUGACGGCCAGCAUGCCCUCCUUCGGGACGGGGUGUGUCAAUUAAGGUUCUGUCCAUAAAGAAAUCCCAAAUACCACUUUUUUAGCCUAUGAGUUAAGUAUCAUAAUCACAUAAAACCAAGGACUUUGUCAAUCUUACUUGUAUUACAAGACAUCUAUUAUAGAUUGAUAGAUUGAUAUCUUUAGGAGAUCAAAUCACAAUAUCUACAUUAAUCUCCAAAAUUACAUUCCUAUUAUACGUUGUAGAUCAUUUAAGGUUGAUUUACAUUGGAAUAAAUCCAACAUUCUCCCACUUGUCUACAAAUAUAAUAUUUAUGUUUAUACUUCAGAUAGGAAAUUAAUGUCACUUUAAUGGCCAUGUAGUUGUGACAACAUCCUAUCCUUGAUACAAGUUUCUGUCAAAUAAGUCUUUCAACAUGGAACUAGCAAGGUUGUAAGGUUGACACAACCCAAAACCUUCAUAAUCACACAUGCUAAAAUCCUCAUUCACAUGAAACACCGUCAAAUUAUGAUUACAGAGAUGAACUUUAAUUACCUAAAUAUGUCUCAACUUUUAUCAUCUCAGGUCAUCUUUAAUGCAAACUUCUACUACAAUUGCAAACAAAACUUCAUAAAACAUAAUUAAUUCAACACCUACGAGCAAGAUGAAUUAACAUGUUUUUGACACUAGUUCAUAUACCAUAUCAAUUACUUUCAUGAGAAAAAUUUCAACACUUAUGAGCAAGAUGAAAAAGCCCUCACAACUAGUACAACAUAUAAAUCAUAUCAUGCCAUUGUAAGUCGAACCAAAAGAAUUAAUCCACACCUACGAGCAAGAAGAUUAAUCCUUCCGUUAUAAUUUAAAAUACAAUUUGAUUAACUUGAUAUUAAACAUAUAGUCAUCUGAUAAUUGACCAACACACAAAAAUGUGACUCCAUGAAUCCAACUGGAGAUUAAACCGAAUACAUGGAUUAAAAAAAAACCAUACAUACCUUAUAGGUCAUCUACAAAUGUAAGGUAUUACUAACAUGAAACUUAUGCUCCCACUGAUCUACCCCUGUAUUUGAAUGAAUUCUUUUAAAAUCUUUUAAAAUCCUAGUUGGCUACACCAUGUUUCUAAAGUCUUUUAAAAUCCUUUAAAAUCAUCAUUUGACUACACCCCCCUUAGUCAAUGAAUGCAUAUCACUAAAAAAUUGUCUUUCUUUAACCUUUCCUUAACACAUUAAAUGGCAUAAUCUCGAUGAAAGGUAAAACUAAGACAUUCACCCUUGUUUAUACAAAAUCAUGCAUCCAACAACCAUUUGUAUUAAUAAUUUCAUAUGUAUGCUCCCCAUGAGCCUCAAAAUUCUUUCUAAAGAUUAACAAAUAAUCAAUCAAGGCAUCCAAAUGAUUGCAAGUAAAAAUAUACACAUACACCAAGUACUCAUUCAUGCAACUUAAACAUAUUAUUGUCAUUCGAGUCAUGGCGUAAAUCCAAUUUCAUCAACCAAAACACAUAUUCAUGGAAGAUGGAAUAACACUAUAAUAGAUUCAUGCAAGUCCACUUAAUGCUCAAAACUUUAGAACAACUCCCACUAAGCUUUUAGAGUUUAUACACUUAUUGCAAAUAAGUUAAUGAGUGUGAAGCCGAAUUUUGUUUCACUAAUUCUCCCACUUGGGCAAACAUUCAUUAAUAUAUUCUUUCAAAGAUGUACCUAAACAAAAAUUGCUUUAUAUUUUAGACAUACUAAAAUCGACAUCACAACCAACAUAAAGUUGUCAAACAGAAUUUCAGUAAUGAGUUACACUUACUUUAGAAUUUAUCAUAAUUAAUUUAUAAGCAUGAUUGCUACCAAAAUUAUACAUAUCAAAAUAGACAUACUAAUCUUCAUAAUAUAAAAAUAUAGAGCCGUUUUGGAUCAAAAUAGUGGUUUAAAGUGAUGUCUCAAAAAACCAACGCAAUCUGCCAGUAAAACUGUCUAUACAAGCAUGGGUUACUAAUAAAUUCACCAUAUUUCAAUACAUGGCAAAAAAUUACGAAACUUUGCAGACACAAAGUAGACAUAUAUAUGUUGAACAUAUAAAAAAUCCAAGUCAUUUGGUGACCAUUAGACAUGUCAUUCAUCCAAUUUUAAUCAUGACAUGCAAUCUGCCAGAAAUAUUAUGUUCAUCUAGCAUGAAUCUAAACAUCUCUAAUAAAUACAAUUUCAUGUUAUUUCAAUUUCGGUGUCCAAAUGAAACUCAACUAAUCAAAUUUCAUCCUCUAAACAGACUUGUAGUUCAAAUUGAAAAUAUUUACAAGAAUUAUACUUAAACAAUGGGUACCUUAGCAAUCCUUGAUUAACCUUCAUGAGUCCAAUACUUUGCAACAACAAAUCUCAUAAGGAGACACCAAAAUAAGUCAUGAUGCAACCAAUUUCCAUGCCUUAAAACCACAACCUAUUAUGGAGCUCAUAGUGGAAACAUUUGUAACUGAUGACAUGAAGCUUUAUCCCAAUAGACUUCAUGAAACUAGAUUAAUUUACACCUAUGGGCAAGAAAAUUAAUUAGUUUCUAGUACUGGAUUAUAUGUUGUUAAUGCACAAAAUCAGUGAGGACUUUGGUACAACAUAAAAUGUUAAGUUUGUAACCUUUGCUAGGUUGCUCCGGUCAUUAGUAUGGAUAGGUAUGUAAAUGGACAAAAACAGGGAAGCAAACACAAGAUGUACGUGGUUCACCUAGAUUGGCUACGUCCACGGAGUAGAGGAGUUCUCAUUAAUUGUGAAGGGUUUACACAAGUACAUAGGUUCAAGGUCUCAUUUAUUGAGUACUAGUGAAUGAUUUAGUACAAAUGACAUUCGGAAAUAUUGUGAGAGAAUGAUCUCCUUUUAUAGACGAGAGUAUCUAGCUUUGUUCUGACUUUGACACGUGUCGUGUUGUGAUUGGCCUCUGAUGUUGACACGUGUCGCGUUAUGAUUGGCCUCUGAUGUUAAAACGUGUCGCGCUGUGAUUGGUCUCCUGGUUGGAGGGAAACUUUUGUGGAUCCUUGAUGGUAUAAUGUUGACUGGUGCUCAGUAGUUUUGGGAUUGGUCAAGUAUGGUACAAACAAUGCUCCCCUAAGUUCCCGAGUGAGGGAAG
rnacentral:lncRNA from 1 species